GGCUCGGUAGCGUUUGGUACGCAUCUGCUUUUACUUCAAGGAGAACUGCGUUAUAGCAGAGUCCAUCCCGUUCGAUUCGGGGCUGAGCCA